AACGUAGGACACAAGCGUUAUCCGGAGUUACUGGGCGUAAAGGGCGUGUAGGCGGAGAUGUAAGUCUAUUCCGAAAGCUCCUGGCUAAACUGGGAGAGGCGAAUGGAGACUGCAUAUCUAGAGUGAGGAAGAGGAAAGUGGAAUUCCGCGUGUAGUGGUGAAAUGCGUAGAGAUGCGGAGGAACACCAGUGGCGAAAGCGACUUUCUGGUCCUUAACUGACGCUGAGGCGCGAAAGCAUGGGGAGCGAACGGG
rnacentral:rRNA from 1 species